rnacentral:lncRNA from 1 species
UCCACUGACCACUGACAAGGUUUUAGCUCAGUGUGGUAUUGGGAGGUGAAGCCUGGUGGGAGGAGGUGUAAUAUAUACACACACAUCUCUCCUCCUCCUCUGAUUGCUGCCUGCUUCCUGCUGCCACAGUAUGAGCUGUUUCCCCUCUGCUGCGACACCCUGCCUCAGAGCCGGCCGCCUAUGGACUGAAACCUCUGCACACUGUGAGCCAAAAUAGACCUCUCCUCCUUUAACUUGUGUCAGGAAGUGCAUCCCAGCAACAAGGAAGUGACUAAGACGAUCCUCAUCGACAAUUAAAGGAGAAGCUUAUAGAAAGGUUAAAAUGGAAAGUGCUAUCUUUCCAGAUCCUGCUGUGCUGGUGAGGGAGGAAGAUCUUGUGAUCAGACGUUGUGCAGUCCUAGUGUGGGUAUCAGCUUUCCCGGAGGCAAAGGGUCAGUCUUCACCUGCUGCCUUGCUUUCUCUGCUGCUGUGUACCCAUUGCUCCUACAGAGGGCCUGGACUGAAGGACCCUAGUUAGCAAGACAGACUCCAUAUUGCUGCUGAGCGACCCACCUGCCUGGCCUUUAGAUGAACUCAAAAGGAGGAAGCUUAGGAACCUCCUCCCCUUAGAGAGUCUCUUAGAAACAACAAUUAAUCAACUAUUGUUUUACAGAUGUUCUAAAGACAGGAUGUUCCGCUUCUGUACCUUUUGCUUGCUUUGCUAGUUCUGUCCCAUAGUGGGGACUAGAAACUGCUGGCCUCAAAGGUAUAUAAAAUAUGUUAAUCUCUCCCAGUCUGGGCUCAAGUCUGAUGCUCGGCUCAGUCCUGGCAGGUAAUAAACUCCUGUGUGGAUUUAAUAUCGGUCUCUGGUUGGUUCUUUCUCACUGGUUGCAACAUGGACCACAAGGGUGGGCCU